UAACAGCCUGGUUGUUCCUGCAGGUCCCUGGGGUAUAACAGCCUGGUUGUUCCUGCAGGUCCCUGGGGUAUAACAGCCUGGUUGUUCCUGCAGGUCCCUGGGGUAUAACAGCCUGUCAGGCCUGGUUGUCCCUGCAGGUCCCUGGGGUGUAACUGCCUGGUUGUUCCUGCAGGUCCCUGGGGUAUAACAGCCUGUCAGGCCUGGUUGUCCCUGCAGGUCCCCGGGGUGUAACUGCCUGGUUGUUCCUGCAGGUCCCCGGGGUAUAACAGCCUGUCCGGCCUGGUUGCGUCUCACACCUCACUCA